CCUCUCUCCCUCUCUCCCUCUCUCUCUCUCUCUCUCUCUCUCUCCUCUGCGUAUUACUGUUGCCGACGACGCAGGAGUACUUUCCGGCCACCAUUUUUAGCCACGCGCCGGACCGUUGGAUUCAGAGGCCUCCGAACUAUCGACCCACGCGGGAAUCUAGAGCUCACUCGCCGAUUAAACGCCUCAACCACUCGAUUUAAGUUCGGCCACCCCGCGACUUCAAAGUUGCGAUUCGGCCACCUCGGGCAUCCGUUUGCCGAUCCGUCACCACCAUCGUGUUCCUCGUGUUGUGGGCUUCAAAACCCAAUAACUUGUUCCUACAUCUACCAUAGUUGGGUGGUGGGCCCACCACGAGCCACCGCGAUCCACCGUAGACUGACGGUCGAAACUUAGUGUUCGAGGUUCCGAAGUACGUUUUGAGUCUCAGAAAAUCAUCGUUUGACUUGUUGUGGAACCCGAUCAUUUUGGAUUUGCAUGGAUUUGAUUGAUUGACUCUUGGUGAGGAAUUUUAAAAUAAGCUAAGGACCUAAGGUGUGGCUUUAGCUGUUGAGCAACUUGUGGAGCACGGACUCAGUAGCAAUGCAAUAAUGGUUUAGAGUUUUCAUAUGGCUGCCUUAAAUUUAAAGUAUUCAUACGUGUAAUAAUUUCUUCUAAUAAGUUUAUAUAAAAGUUUAAAUUUUUCUGUAUUUCUUCGUAUCAUUUUAUUUAAUUCUUUUGGUCAAGUGCCUUACAUACUCGUAAACCCUAGAAUUACGAGUAUGUGGCAGACGUACCCUACCUUAGGGACGUUAC